rnacentral:sRNA from 1 species
CCACACCUGCUGGAUCCAUCACCAACUCAUCUUUUUGCAAACUUUGAGCAAACCCAGGAGUCCCCACUCCCAGCACUGUGGGCAGCCCGAAGGCUGCCUGAAUGAGCUGAACCCCCCACCAAGCCCCCUGCCUUGUGCCCUCCUCGCUCCACAGCCUGCCCGCUUUUCCGUCCUCAGGGACGCUCAAGCUGCCCUCUGCCAAUACCCCGCUUCUGGCCUGUCCCCCCCUGCCCCCCACUAAACAGUUUUCAGUGUCUCAAUAGCUUCUGCUUAUAUGUUUGAAGAUUCCAAACUGAAUGGGGAGGUGGCGAAGGCCGCGCUGGCGAACGAAGACUGCCCCCACAUAGACCAGGCCCUCACUCCCGAUGAGGGCCUGCCCUUUACGCGCUCGGGCACCCGCGAGAGAUACGGACCCUGCUUCCUCUUAUCAACCGGGGAGUACGCGUGCCCACCUGGUGGAGGAAUGAGAAAGGAUCUUUGCAAAGAAAGCCCUGUCAUUGCUAAGUAUAUGCCGACAGAGGCUGUGAGAGUGACUUGACCAGGCGGCUUGGCCGAGGACACUGGUGGCUAUUAAGCAUCUGGGUGGACCUGCAGCCCCUCCUCACCCUCGGACAGAGUAAAUUCACGCCAUGCAGGUUUGCCGGACGAGUCCGAGUGGCCCAGGCAUUGUACUAGGACGGACGUAGCUUUUUCUACGGCCAAAUGGUAACUGACCGUAGAGGAUUUCUUUUCCUUCUUUUCAUUUUUUAAAAUUUUAUUUUAUUCGGGGAGGGGGGGUGGAGGGGCUCCUUAGCAUGACUUGCAUGAAGUUAAACAGAAAACCCAGCAAACCAAACCCACCAACCCCCUGCAACUGUAUGAGUACCCUGAACAACAAUAACGAAAAGAAAAACAUCAAAGCCCUCUAUUUUCUUUCAAAGCUCUUGACUUUCACACACGUUGUUGGAGCCAAACUGUAACGGCGUUCGGUAGAAACCUGUACAUUUCUGGGGGUGAGGGGCGAGGGGAGGAGGGACGGAGAUGGGGAAUGGAUUGCUUCCUUUUUGUACACAAGAUCAAGAGGAAAGCUUCCAAAAAGGGCAGUCGGUCAGUCAUCGGUCAUAUUGACCUCACCUUCAUAGUUCAUCUCUCACGUGGAAACUGAGAACUUUGCUCCAAAUAGAAUUGUGGAAACUCGCACGGCUGCCUUCUUCCCCGUUUGGCAUGCUUGUGACCCAGCGGAUGUCUCCCCAAGACCCCUGACAGCAGCUAGUCUAGGUUGAUUCUCUCAUCUUAUCGGUGUGUAGAUCCAGUGUGACCAACUUUCAUAACAAAUUGUUCAUAGUAAACAAUCACCACCGUAUGGAUUUUCCAAGUGUUCCAUUAAAACCAGGAUGUAGAGCACCAAAAGAUCAGGACCACGGGAGGAGCAGCCUCCUCCACCUUUACUAAGGCACAACGUGGCUUUGUAUGCAAUUUAGUACUUCAGAGUAAAAACCUGCAUGCCCAAUGUUAUGCAAAGCGAUUCUAGCAUGAAAUAAAUUUUGUAUCAUGGUUUCUGUAUAGUCUAAAGCAGAUUUGUUUUCCUGAAGCAGUCGGAGGUUUGCAGAGACACACUUCUGCAUCUCGAAUAAAUAUAGUAUUUUCCCAACAGAAACAGAGGACAGUAGCUUGCCUUUGGUCUGAUUCUAAAAUUAGUGGGGUGGGGGGGGAAGGAUGAUAUUUUUGAAAAACACAUGCUUGAGUUGAAAAAAAUGCAACAUCUCAAGCUUUCACUGCAGCUCACAACAUUUCCUGGAAAGAGAGCAAUGAUGCUUUAGCUCAACAACCUCCCCUCCCUGGGCCCUGGCCCCCAAUAAUAAAAAACUGACUUUUGAGAUG